AAAGUAAUAUCAUGAGUCUCAUAAGAUGGGAGAUGGCAUAGAUGAAGGAUGAGGUAAAAGCUAGGAUCAGAAAAAAGAAGAAGGGAAGGAGCUAUGGAAAAAAAACAAAAACAAAACAAAAACAACUUUGGUCUAAAGAAAGUACAUAAACGAAGCCAAUUUGACAAAAAUAUCCACCAAUUAGCAACAUGGUGUUCAUGGCUUUUUACCAUAUUUGAAGAGUCAAAACAACAACACGAUAACAAUUCUGAUAAUUAGAGGGGAAAAAAAGGACUUUGCACUAAUUUUUCCUUACUGGCACACUCUCCUUUCAUAUACUGGCUAGAUGUCAAAAAUGAGGCUUUGAUGAACUCUGAAGGAAGAUCCAUAUGUUGGAGGAGUAGUAUCCCCAAGGGUAAAUAUUUACCUUCCAGAUAAAUACAAAAAUCCUAGGAUGGCCUAAAAUUGCAAAGAAACCGUAUCCCCUCUGCACUGUGCCAGAAGGGGCAUUGUGUCUAUCCAGGGACAGAAGGAGAAGAGACUUCAGAGUUUCCAACUUGACUUUCUAUCCCUUACGAAGAUGAAAACAUGAGCAAACCAUAGGGUUCUGAUAGAAACAUCACCCUGAGCUCUUCUCCACAAAGCAAAUAAGCCUCUCAGUGUGCAUUAAGUAAACAAUUUGUGUGAUUUCCCUGAAGGCAAGUAGUGUUAUAGGGUGAGAAAAGGUAUCAUGUGGCAAUACGAUUAUUUCAUUAACUUACGCUGCAAGAACAUUUAUUGCCCCACCUGAGCAUGUCAACCGUCUCCCAUUGUUGGGUUUUGCUGAGAGAAUGAUGUCAGUGGCAGGGAAUGUGGAAAUGGGAAAGUUGUCUUGCAGUUGCCAUCCAUUAAAUAUAGAGGCAAUAGCUCACCAGACUUUCUUCGAGAUCUCCAUCUAUUCUCUCUCAGUGAUGACUCUUGUCUCAUCCUAUUUAUGAUGAAUAAAUUGCUUACUUGUAUAUUUAGCUAAUAUCCACUUUCCAUAGGAGCUCUACAGUAAGCUCCAUGAGUUUGAGGACUGUAUCACAUCUUGUUGGCUGUUGCUUAUUCUCACUACUGAGCAUAGUAUUUGACACAUAAACUUAUAAAUUGUUGAAUGAACAAAAAACUAAGUUCAGAGUAGAAAGCAAAACUGAGGAGGAGCAUGACAGAUGAUAAAAACAAUUUUAGACUUUAGGUCUAACAUUGUGUUAGGAUAACUUUAUAAUGACUUUUAAAACAUGAAAGAAAGAUAACAUGAUACAAUGGGAAAGAAUAAUGUCUAUCCUCAUGGAUUAUUUAAUUCUGUUCUCAGGGUUUAAGAAAGAAAGAAAAAUAUAUAGAAUUCUGACUGUUCCCCUGCCCCAAUCUGCUAAUUGAGUGGAGGAUUACAGUGAGGUCCAUAGGAAAUAAGAGGAUGAGUUUAAUAAUGAAGACUAUUUCAGUGCUUUAUUUCCAUGCCAAGCAGUGGCCUUAAAUCAAGCAACAUCAUCUUAAAGAGAUGAAUAUUCUUGCUCGCUGGAUUGAAGAUAGAAUAGAGAUGGAGGCAUUCAAUGUGUGUAAUGGAUCAAGAGGGUUAUUUAACAUUUUUUGACACUAUAAUUGUGUUUUCUUUUCAUAGUUACUAAACUACUGGUAAUACGCCCACCUUUACCACCUGCACUGAGAGCCCACCAUCACCAUAAUAUUAGAGGUCAUUCAGAGAAUAAAUAGCAAAUGAAGCUUCAAACCCAGAUUGGUCUGACUCCAAAGCUCAUCCUCUUUCCUGUUCACCUUUUUAUUUAUUUUUUAUUUUGUCUUUUUAGGGCAGCACCCAUGGCAUAUGGAGGUUCCCAGGCUAGGGGUCCAAGAGGAGCUAAGCUGCUGACCUACACCACAGCCACAGCAACUUGGGAUCCGAGCCCCAUCUGUGACCUACACAACAUCUCAUGGCAACGCUGGAUCCUUAACUCACUGAGCAAGGCCAGGGAUUGAACCCAAGUCCUCAUGGAUACUAGCUGUUUCCCGCUGAGGCACUAGGGGAACUCCCCUGCUCAGCCUUUUACAAAGCACAAUCUUCAUGGGCAGGUAAGGAAUGGGACAGCUACAUUCCAGGUGACACCACUGCUCCUAGGUAAGCCCAGGAUUGUUAAUCAGAUAAUUCCGAGGUUUUAGUGGUCUCAGUUCAAGGCUAAAUGGCAGAACGUCUGAGUUCAGUUCCUGCUGACCUUGCCCUGAUCCCUUGUCUUUAUCUUUUAAAGACACCAGAGAAUGAGUGUGAAUCGUUAAUGAAUGUAGAUCAUGAGGGAAAGGAGGCUAGAGGAUUAGCUCAAGAAAGAACUAAAGAUUUACUAUGAAAGGGCAUUUUACCAUUGUGCUUGAUUUUAGAUCAAAACUUGGAAAGACAGUGGAAAAGACAAAUAAUUAUUUAAGGUGGCCAUAUAUGGUCAAAAUCUCUUUAUGUAGGAUUAGGAAGACAGGACACUCAAGCACUCAUCAGGCACAUUUAUUUGCUAUUUCAGUUCCAUUAAUUUUUUUCGCCUACUCUAUUGCUCCUGAUUUUGUUGUAUACUACUUUGCAAAAAUUCUUUUUCAAUUGAAACAAUGUAACUAAAUUUAUUCUGUGGUUCUUUAUCAGUAAUGAUUCAAUCUUUGGCAGAGACUAAGGGGUGAGGGAGCUAGAAAUCUGAAUGAUAUAGAUAGAAGGGAGGUGACUUUUUAGAAAGUGAUUAAUACCACAAACUGAGAAGGAAAAAAAGAACUAAGCCAGACUGACAACAUUGGAUGCAUCAUUUGGCCACAGGAGUAUAAAUACUUUAUAAUGUUAAUCUUUUAGUCCAGCAUUUCCCUUCACCUUUACUUAAGAAUGAGAGUGGUUAGGGUGUGGGCUUUAUUUUUGUUAUCAUAGUUUUAUUAGGUUGUCUACUUUAAGUGAAGUGGAAGUGUCCACUUCAUUGUGUGUGAUAUUAGUGCCUCUGAGGAAUGUACCCCACAUCAGCCACAUCAGCCGUCACUUUUAAUAUAGAUGUAGCUACACAAAGUAACAGAAUACUUGGCUAAAUAUUUUCAACUGGUAUUUUCACACCUCCUUCCAACUAUAAAACACUAGAUAUAGUCUUUCUAUCUGUUUCUUCAUGCAGGGGUGUCCCAGAGUAGUUUUGUGGCAUUCCAAUCAUUGAUGUAAUAUGAUAAUUGACUUAUCUCCGUCUGCUGCAACAGGAAAGGUUGGCUGAGUGAGGAGGCAUAGUAUAGUCAAUAAAACAAAACAAGAGGCAUAAAGACAUACUAAGGAGACUUGAAAGGUAGAUCUUUUCAUAAAUAAACAUGUUUACAUUCCAGUAUAUUUUAUUAAUCUAGUCUGCCUUUAGUUUCAACCAGGAGUUGGCAAAGUGUGGCCCUCCUGGCCACACCCACCUAUUUGCAUAUUGCCUGCUGAGGCUUUCUCACAACAAGGAGAGUUGAGAGUAGUUAAGACACAAUAGAUGGUGGCAAAUGGAAGUUCCCAGGCUAGGGGUCAAAUCAGAGCUACAGCUGCUGGCCUGCACCACAGCCACAGCAACCAGAUCUGAGCUGCAUCUAUGAUCCACACCGCAGCUCACCGCUGCAUCCUUAACCCACUGAGUGAGGCCAGGCAAUCAAACCCGAAUCCUCAUGGAUACCAGUUAGGUUCAUUACUGGUAUCAUUAAUACUGCUGAGCCACAAUGGGAACUCUGACUCCAGGUUUAAGUGAACAUCUUAUCCAGUUUUUAAUUGGAUAUACAUUCAUGAAAUAUAGCAAGUCCUUAAAUUCAAACUGUUUGAGAAAAAAAAUUGUUUCCAAUUUAUAAUAGCACAUCAUUUAACAAAAUGACAUGACUCCAUAAUUUCCAAAAUAAAAGUUUCCAUAUGGCAGCUGGAACAUUCUAAGGCUGUAAGUACUGAAUAUAUCAGUUUAUUUCUUUGGAAACAAAUGGGAAAAAAAUAUUUUAGCACACAUAGUUACCGUUUUUCAGGGGCUUCCAGAAUCUUAACACUCCAAAUAGAGUACCAAUAUUGGUAUCAUCCAUAUGGCAUCAGAGUGAAGGCAGGGAACAGAGUCAAGAGCCUUUAGUUCAGUUUAUUUUGCCCAGAAAAGACUAAAAGUGUCAUAUCGAUUAUGGAUCUGCAAGAGUAAUCAACACCUAUUGGCUCACUGAGGAGUAAAAUAUGAUCACAGACCAGUUAAACUAUCUGCUGUCUUGGCAAUGGAAUUUAUUGUUAGUGCUUUUGCUGAAGUCACUUAUCUGAAGGAGUGAUUGAUCACAUUUCUGAUUGUUGUAGAGGCAAAAGAAUUGACCUUAUUCACUCAUAGAAUGGCAGGUACUAAUUCCCCGGGAAAGAAUUCACUUUCCAAAUUUAGUACAUUGUGUUAAGACAGUUUUCAAAUCAAGGUAGUAUUUUGAAAAAAAAAAAAAAUGGUCCUAAUAUCCAAGGCCAAGUUUUCCUAUUUCAUGCUUUUGAAAGAAAGGUGAAGAGAAAAUAUCGAUUGUUAAAGAAAAGAAAAAAUAUAGAGGAUUGUUUCUGGAAAAAUAAAUAAAUAAAUAAACCACUUUGGGUUCCAACUCCCUAACCAUCUGUCAUUUGGGAAUUUUACCCAUCAGCAGUCUGUUCUAUCUGUAGCUCCACUCAUGUGAACCUGAGAUAUCUACAGGAAAACUGCUUAUGGAAUAUAAGGGAAAUCACAAGAUUUCAAAUGUGGAUAUAUGCAUCAGAGCUUUAAAAAGGUGGCUUCACUUGUUUUGAGCUUUUAUCAAUAUUGAAUAUGCUUAACUACCAAACUUAAUUCACUAAGAAGAAUUACAUUCCAAAUUGAUGGCUGAACUUCAGGUUCCUUGUCUGUCCCAUAGUCACCACCCACCACUAAUACCAUGGUGACUGUACUUACUUUAACCUUGUUUUGAGGAGUAAAAUGACAGUUUAAGAACCUUGUUUCAGGCUUGCCUGCUCCUCUCAGAAUAAAGUAUUUACUGUUCCAGGAGCAUAUUGUGAGGAUUAUAGCUUAAAUAUAUUUAUUCCCCGACUGUUUGAUUAACAGGUGGAUCUGGUUGCUAUUGCUGCUUAAUUUAGUAGCUUACAAUAAUCAUUUUAUUAUGCUCACAGAUUCUGUGGGUUAGGACUGGGAACAGCAAGAUUGCUGGUCUCUGCUCCACAGUGUCCCUGAUUUUUGGCUGAGAUUUGAGGGCUAGGGUGAUUUGAUGACUGGGAGCUGGAAUCAUUUGGAGGUCCCUCUACUCCUAUGGCUGGAGCCUGUAUUAGGAAGACUUGGAGACUAGAACUGCCAACUGGACAUCCUAUAGGUGGCUUCUUUAUGUGGCUGCUCCAAGGGAUUGUCUUGGAGCGAAGCAUGGUAGCCUUCGGACAAUGUAUUUCUUACACGGUAGCUGAAGGCUCCAAGCAAGACUAUUGCAGCAAACAAAGUGGUAGCUGCAUCAUCUCUUAUGAUCCAGCCUUGGAAGCUCACAGCCUCACUUCAGCUGUGUUCUAUUGGUCACGGCAGUUCCAAGCCCAUCCAAUUCCAGGAGAGGAGAGUUAGACACUACCUCUUUAUAGGAGAGUGGCAAGGUGACAUUGGAGAUGAGGAUGUGGGAAUGGAAGAGGUUACUGAGACCCCUUUAGGAAACAGUCUGCCACACUGGCCAGAGGAAAAGGUGAGUACAUGAUUGAGAAAAUAUAAGCGUUCAGUGAAAUGUUAACAUUUUAAUGACAUUGUUCAUUAGAAUUGGAUGUCUAAAAGGCAUCUCAAGCCUUCUACAUUCAAAAGAGUGUCCUGUGGAGUUCGUGUCGUGGCGCAAUGGUUAACGAAUCCGACUAGGAACCAGGAGGUUGCGGGUUCGAUCCCUGGCUUUGCUCAGUGGGUCAAAGAUCCUGCGUUGCAGUGAGCUGUGGUGUAGGUUGCAGAUAUGGCUCGGAUCCUGUGUUGCUGUGGCUCUGGUGUAGGCCGGCGGCUACAGCUCCAAUUCAACCCCUAGCCUAGGAACCUCCAUAUGCCGCAGGA
rnacentral:lncRNA from 1 species